rnacentral:rRNA from 1 species
AUUGAACGCUGGCGGCAUGCCUUACACAUGCAAGUCGAACGGUAACAGGUUAAGCUGACGAGUGGCGAACGGGUGAGUAAUGUAUCGGAACGUGCCCAGUCGUGGGGGAUAACUACUCGAAAGAGUGGCUAAUACCGCAUACGACCUGAGGGUGAAAGCGGGGGACCGUAAGGCCUCGCGCGAUUGGAGCGGCCGAUAUCAGAUUAGCUAGUUGGUGGGGUAAAAGCCCACCAAGGCGACGAUCUGUAGCUGGUCUGAGAGGACGACCAGCCAAACUGGGACUGAGACACGGCCCAGAUUCCUACGGGAGGCAGCAGUGGGGAAUUUUGGACAAUGGACGCAAGUCUGAUCCAGCCAUGCCGCGUGCGGGAAGAAGGCCUUCGGGUUGUAAACCGCUUUUGUCAGGGAAGAAACGAGUUUCUCUAAUACAGAGACUUAAUGACGGUACCUGAAGAAUAAGCACCGGCUAACUACGUGCCAGCCGCCGCCGUAAUAC